CCUACGGGGAGCAGCAGUGGGGAAUAUUGGGCAAUGGGCGCAAGCCUGACCCAGCAACGCCGCGUGAAGGAAGAAGGCUUUCGGGUUGUAAACUUCUUUUCUCAGGGACGAAGAAAGUGACGGUACCUGAGGAAUAAGCCACGGCUAACUACGUGCCAGCAGCCGCGGUAAUACGUAGGUGGCAAGAGUUAUCCGGAUUUACUGGGUGUAAAGGGCGUGUAGGCGGGUCUGUAAGUCAGAUGUGAAAACCACGGGCUCAACCUGUGGGCUGCAUUUGAAACUGUAGUUCUUGAGUACUGGAGAGGCAGACGGAAUUCCUAGUGUAGCGGUGAAAUGCGUAGAUAUUAGGAGGAACACCAGUGGCGAAGGCGGUCUGCUGGACAGCAACUGACGCUGAGGCGCGAAAGCGUGGGGAGCAAACAGGAUUAGAUACCCGUGUAGUC
rnacentral:rRNA from 1 species